rnacentral:tRNA from 1 species
GCUGGUGUGGCUUGAAUGGAAAGCAGCGGCUUUGUAAUCCGCCACAUGUAGGUUCGAUUCCUAUCAUCAGCUCCA